rnacentral:tRNA from 1 species
GUCCGCAUGGUGUAGUGGUUUAGCAUUUCUCUUUCCGGUGGAGACGGUCCGGGGUUCGAAUCCCUGUGUGGAUU